AAGCUUAGCGUCAGGCUUAAGUGAAGAGGACCCGAGUUCAGGCACUGCGUGCUUAACAGUCGGAAAAGAAGACGGCUGUGUGACUCGCUGUUGGCCACCUGUGGAGGCUGGAUGACAGCUCGUAUGGUAAGCAGAAGCUGAGAGUCCCCCACAAAUGGAAAGGUGAUUUGAGCUGCAAAGAAGAUAGUCAGAUGACCCAAACGAGCUGCAAAGAAGACUCACACCAGAGCACCUGCAUAGAAGCGACAGGAACCUGCUGAGCUGCAGGGAAGAGGUUGGACAACUGAGACACCUGGAAGGGCGCUCUCCAACAUGUGGAACUGCCUGCAGGCUGUGCAGUGUGCUCUGUGUUCCCAGGUUUGUGAGCUGCUUCCCAUGCUGGGGUGGGCAUUGAUGAUGCACUUGUCUUUGAGUUAUUUCUGCUCCUGUAAGUAACCCCUCACCCAUAUCCCUCUAAGGAACUCUAA